GCCUGGAUAGCUCGGUUGGUUAGAGUGUGGUGCUGAUAAUGCCAAGGUUGCAGGUUCACAAACGUACACGGGAGGCA